rnacentral:rRNA from 1 species
UACGUAGGGGGCAAGCGUCAUCCGGAUUUACUGGGUGUAAAGGGGGCGCAGACGGCGAUGCAAGCCAGGAGUGAAAGCCCGGGGCCCAACCCCGGGACUGCUCUUGGAACUGCGUGGCUGGAGUGCAGGAGGGGCAGGCGGAAUUCCUGGUGUAGCGGUGAAAUGCGUAGAUAUCAGGAGGAACACCGGUGGCGAAGGCGGCCUGCUGGACUGCAACUGACGUUGAGGCCCGAAAGCGUGGGGAGCAAACAGG